rnacentral:rRNA from 1 species
AAAACAUUCCUACGGGAGGCAGCAGUGGGGAAUCUUGGACAAUGGGGGCAACCCUGAUCCAGCCAUGCCGCGUGAUCGAUGAAGGCCUUAGGGUUGUAAAGAUCUUUCAGCUGGGAAGAUAAUGACGGUACCAGCAGAAGAAGCCCCGGCUAACUCCGUGCCAGCGGCCGCGGUAAUACGGAGGGGGCUAGCGUUGUUCGGAAUUACUGGGCGUAAAGCGCACGUAGGCGGAUCAGUCAGUCAGGGGUGAAAUCCCGGGGCUCAACCCCGGAACUGCCUUUGAUACUGCUGGUCUUGAGGUCGAGAGAGGUGAGUGGAAUUCCGAGUGUAGAGGUGAAAU